rnacentral:misc_RNA from 1 species
AAAAUAUUUAAUAAUUUGUUUAUACGAAGGAACGGCUCCGAUUAUGUGGUCUAAAAAGGAUUGGGCUUCUUAUCUGUUAGGUCUGGGCCCAAAUCAUAUAGCCCAUAGACCUACCUUCACAAUUUGGAAACCCUAAUAUCGUCAGGCUAGAUUCUCUUACGUCCCCUGUCAACUGCAACCGGAGACUUUACUUUCUGUAGGCAUUCAUGGGAGGCAAGCUGAAGAAGAGCGAAAACGAAGCCAUGGCUGAAUACGAAAACGACGUUGAGUUAGAUACCAGCGAUAAAAAGAGAGAUAAGAGGAAGAAGAAGAAUAAAGAGGGAGAGGAGAAGAGGGAGAUACUUCCAUCGAUGAUAAAGAACAAGGAGAAGAGAUCAGUCGUUCAUGCUAAGCUCAAGCACUUGAAGAAGGUUGAGAAGCGAAAGAAGCUCAAGG